AUGUUCCCCCAGCUGGGCAAAGGUCCAUACACACAAAAGAAACAGCAAUGAGCUGCCAUGGGAUGGGAGAAGGCGCUCUGAAGACGGAUGCGGAGCCUGCAGAGUGGCUGUGUUUACCACCAACCCCAUCACACACCACCAGAGCUGACUGAUUUGAAUUUCAGACCAGAGUUGAGCCAGGGCCUGGAAGAAGUCACAAAGAAACACAACCUGGAAAAUGGAAGCAACCUUAAAAGUAAAAUGUAGUGAAAGAAAUGAAAGGCUGGAAAGUAAACUAAAGAGGUUUCCUAGAAGUUACACAUGCAGCAGUGAUGAAAAAAGGGGGAACAGACGACUGGAGGAUCCAUUCAGUAGUCCCACACGGAACUGGCAGGAGCUCCGGAAAAAAAAAUGUGGAAUUAUUAAAACAGUAAUAAAAAGAAAAUAACAAGAACAGAAGGACUUGGGCUUUCGGAAUAAAGUGCCCAGGAGCACAGUGAAUGAAAGGAACCUGCCCACACCCGACACAUCAUCCUGAAAUGAGGGUUACAUGAGGCUUCCAGAAAGAAACUGGCCACAAAGAAAUUACCUCUGAGUGCCCCACUGGAGGCAGUGAAGCAACACCUUUGAAUCCCAGGGAAGAUGACUUCAUACCUAGAAUUCCCCGUCUAGUCAAAUUAUCAAUCAGUAUGAGUGCAGUACAGAACAUUGCUUCAAACCUACAAGUUCUCAAAUGUUUUACCUCCCUCAGCUUCUUUCUCAGAAAGCUACCGCAGGAUUUGCUCCACCAAAACAAGGGAGCUGCUUCCCAGGUCUUCUUUCUUAGGAAGCGAGUGGAGGAGAGGCAGAGAGAGUGGGGAGCUGGGGAACAGGCAGAGGCUCCAAUGGGGCGGGGCAGGAGAAGGCACAGUGGAUUACUGAUUGAUCUGUGGCUUUGUUCUCAGAAAUGCAUUUUAAGGCUCUGGCAAAGAGUCUGAAGAUGAAUUAGAACAGAUACACAGAUUAGAAAAUGAAGUUAUUAACCCCAGGGGAAGCAAGAGUGACCCAUGAAUGGAAAUGUAACCAGAGUGUACUUAUCACUGCCCAGUUGCACAGCCCCUCGUGACAAAAAUUACAACUAACUCCACUGGGGGUCUGGGGGAAGAAAGAGAGGGAAGGGGAGGGGACAAGAGUCGGAGAACACAAUCCGGUCUUCCAUCAUAAUACAACAUCUAAGAUGGAAAAGUAAGGAAAUGUAGGUGUAUCUAGUUUGAAGGAAAAUACCAAAAUGGCUAAAAUAGUUGAAACUCACUGUCUCAGGGCAGCAGGGAAGGGACAAAGGGACAAGGCAAGCAAGUGCUGCUUCCUCUCUCAAGUUAAAUAAGAACUAUUUUACUUUAAAAUUACCUGCAUUAAUUACUUUCAUAAAAUGAAUUAACCUUAAAAAGAUAUCCAUGUUCUGGUUCCUCACAGCCUGGGGAAAGCAGCCCAGUGGAUCCAGAAGCAGAAGACACAACCUCCUGAAGGGAGGCUCCCAAGGACAGCAAGAGUGAGCUGCCUCUGUGGAGAGCCUGGGUCCCUAGGGCAGCCACAUUUGGGGGCUCAAACACGCUGUAAAAAUAGGAUUGUUCACCGCAAAGCCGAAGCGCUGGGCAGUGGCACAGGAUUUAAUGCAGAAUGCCGGCUUCUAAUGUGGUCAGCCUCUUCCACUCCACUCCUGCCCCCUCCCUCCGAUGCACCCCACCCCUCCCAGGCUGCCUCGCAGACUUGGCACUUGCUGCUCCCUCUUCCAGACUGUUCUUCCCCCAGGAGCUGCUGGUGGCUGGCUCCAGCCCACAGUUACUCUUUGCCUCCCCUGACCUCCACACUCCAUCCCCCUCUGCAGUAGUGUUUUCAUAGCACUUGGCCUAAGGACCUGAAAAUGCCUCCAUGACUUAGUUGAGGCCGAACAGGAGAAACACAAACAUCCCAGUGAGAAGAUUUGGGCCAGACCUGGAGAGGACAAAGGUAAGGCGCCAAGAGUGGAAAGUUCCACAAAACAAAAUCUCCAGUGAAAAGAGAUUGAAAACAAAUCUUGUAAUAGUAUCCACAACCAAACCCAGGGAUGGCAAAGCCAUCCCCGAACGAAUGUGGCUGAGAGAAGGUAUUUCCAGGAGUGUCAGCAGGUGCCCAGGUGGAAGCCAGCAGGUUCUCCUGGGUGGCUUUAAAUGGUUACGAAGGACCGUCAGGACUGGUGCUGUUUACGCGGUUACUCAAACUGGUUACGUUGAAAAGAAACCUUUUUCUUAAUUGCUUUUACCUUGGACCAGUCCAGACACUGCCAUGUAGAACUCAGCAGGGCACGGGCACACCCACCUGGCUUCCAGGCCCUGCCCUGAGAACAAUGACUGACCACCAGGCUUCCCGGCACGGAUUUAUAUCCAGGUCUGCAGUGUACUGACCUCAUCAGCAGACACCAGAUUCUCGAUGGCAUAAAUCAGACCCUGCUGCUCUUCUCAAAUGGCCUUUAAAACAGUCCACAUGAGUAGCCAAAGGUCAGGACAGAAGGCCCAUGCCACACACUGCUCCUCCCAGGGAGGGGGAGGGGCUGCACAUUUUCUUUGUGACAUUGGAGGGUUUUUUUUUUUCCUUUUUCAACAAGAAUGCAUUGUUUCAUAUAAUUUUAAAGUUGCUUUAAACAAAGCACACACUACACUCACACAGAUCUGCCGGCCCCGCGAGUUCUUUCAGAAUAGUGGCUCCAUAAUCAUUGAUGGGCAUUACAUUAAGGACCUCACUCUAAAUAGCUAAAUUAAAACAAAAGGAGAAACAGCCCAUUUUGCUGGCUUUCUUCGCCAUUUCUGAGAAGCAAAGGUAUCCCGCUGGGAGCUGAGCUGUAUGCACGUGCAUUUUGCCCUGACAGUGUGAAAUUGCUGCCCUUUGCAUUCAGAAAGAAUGACUUGACACAGGAGCCCAUUAGAAAGACAGGGUUAUGAAAUGUCACUCUCAUUACUUACACGUAAUUGGGGCUGUUCAUGAGGGUGCACGAGCCCACUUUAAAUGUCAGCAGAAUGGAACUCCGAGGGGGCUCUGAGCCCCACACUCUUCUGCCUGUCAGUACUUGUCAGAAGGCAGCUCUCCCACCCCCAGGGGUCUUCAAAUCAAGGCAGGAGGUCACAGCAGAGAAAAUGGGAGUACCCAGCAACCACUGUGCAUAUAUGUCUGCGUGUAUGUAUAUAUAUAUGGACGCAUGUACAUCUGUGUGUAUGCAUCUGUGUAUGUGCAUGCAUGUGCAUCUGUAUUUCUGUAUCUGUGCACGUGAACCCGCACAGAUAUGUGCACCUAUCCACGUUUGUACAUUUGUAUACCUCUGUACUGGUGUGUUGUGUACAUGUGUAUGUCUGCAUGUCUGCACAUGCAUGUGUAUGUCUGUGUGCAUACAUAUGUACACCUGUGUAUGUGUAUGUGCAUCUGCUUGGAUCUCUGCAUGUGUAUACGUAUGUGUAUGCAUGGGCAUCUGUGUAUGUGUGUGUAUAAUGUAUGUGUGUACCUGUGCAUGUUUGUCUGUGUAUAUAUAUCCAUACAUAGGUAUCUGUGUAUGCAUAUACAUGUGUGCACAGCUAUAUGCGCACAUAUGUGCAUGCAUCUGUGUAUGUGUAUGCAGACAUGUAUGUGUGCAUCUGUGUGUGCAUGUGUGUAUAUGUGCAUCUGUGCAUGUGUCACUCUGUUGCAGAACAUACAUUCUGAUCUAGUGUUGCAUCUUAGAUGUGAAUAGUGACUGCUGGCAAGUGUCCUGUAAGGCAGGAACCAUGGACCAAAAUGCCAUCUGGGGACUGUCCAGCCACCCGUGUCUCGGCUCCUUCCUGGGAUCAGCUGUCUGGCAGCUAGGGGAGAUUACAGAGGGGACACCAGUCACUACCACAUGGAAGGUGUCAGUGCUUCUGCCAGCAACAGGAUGCAACACUGGCAUUAAAAUGCCCUGGCUAGCAUCCCAGGGAAACUGAAAGGGGAUCUCUUGUGACAGCUGUGGACUGGCCAAUCUAACAUAGGCAGUUAUUACCUGGACCCUUGACCUCACUGCAAACCACUGCAUGGGGGAGCGUGUUCUGGCUUAUUUCUUAUCUCAGGGGUUUGCCCAGAUGGGGCAGGUGAAGCUUAGAGUCUCUCCAGGCCCUGCAACCAGGACAGUGGAGGUCACGCACUCACCACAUCUUCCCUCCCAGCUGGAAGCAGGCAGCCAGGUGCUGGGAAACAGAAGACACCGCAGCCCUCACCAACCAUGCCCUGCCAGUGCCUGGCCACCUAGUAUCCCCACCCUGGGAUGUCCUCUGCCCCCAGAAACCCCUCUCCCACCUCCGGUUAGGGUGCUGAUGUCACUGCCUUGCAAACUGAGGAUAAAAUGGCCUUAUCCCAUCAGGAAUCAGGAAUGGGUUUCAGGAGCUGUCUAGGUCACAAGCAUAAUAAACAGCUUAUUGUUCCAACUUCAGUUUUCCUAGAAUUUAAAAUGGAUCCCUAGAGACCAGCACUCCAGUUCUGCAGGGACAUGCCUAGCCCUGGACCUGUGUUGGGCUGGACUCACCCAGCAGGGCAGCUGCCAGGACCAGUCUUCUUCACCCUCAAGCCACAUCCCUGCAGGGGCAAGUGAGCCACAGCCAGGAUAUCUCAGACAUGCUCUAACCCUCACCCACUUCCCAAACCCCUGGGUGCAGCAGGUACAGAAUGGGAAGCCCAGGGAGAGAGACGGAGGGCGGUGGGAGUGAGGGACACAUGCAUCCAUCUAUCAGCAUUGUCAGCAGGGCAAACACUAUGAGGAUGCAUGCAGAGUGGUGGCAGGAGCAGGGCCCUUCAGAGGAAGAGUGGGGACCCCUCUAAGCAGCAGCCAGCAUGGCAGAGAUGCAGACUGUCAUGCCAUUUGUGUGACAUCACUCUACUCUUCAGACUUGGAUACAGACAAUACUGUCUUUUCUGGAGGGUGUGUGGUGUGUGCAUGCAUCCUUGGGCCCAAGCAAGUUAGUGCUAGCAAAAAUAAUCAUCUUCCACUGGCCUAAUGUUGACCUGCUGCCACCUCCAGGGGGGCCAAUGGUCUCCCUACUGGACACUGGCUCCCAGGGACAGUGUGCGGUUGUUCUGGGAAGUGGCUGGCCAGCCCCUCAGGGAGGACUGUGUUAACCCUGCGGCCCUAAAGGGAUGCCUGGUGUCGUGUCUUUCAAAGGUGAUACUAUGGUCUGAACGUCUGGAUUACCCCCAAAUUCAGAUGUUGAAACCCUAACCACCAAUGUGAUGGUUUCUGGAGAGGGAGCCUUUGGGAGGUGACUGGGUCAGGAGGGCAGAAUCUUCAUGAAUGGAAGUCGUGCCCCUAUAAAAGGAGUCCCAGAGAGCUCCCUCACCCCUCAACCACGUGAGAAGACGCUGUCUAUGUACCAGGAGGAGGGCCUUCACCAGACACCAAAUCUGCCAGCGCCUUAAUCUUGGACUUCCCAGCCUCCAGAAUGGAUAAAUAAAUGUCUGUUUUUAUAUCACCCAG